rnacentral:lncRNA from 1 species
UUCAGGUGCCAUCUGGUCGGCAGCCAACCUACCUCUCCCUCGUUCUCUCCCAACCCGUCUCUCUCUUUCUGUCUAUUCUCCCUUCCUCACAGAUCUGGAUCGGAGGGGGCUCACUGGCGUCUCCCCUCAACGCCGACCACCAGAAACCUCCACCGGCUGGCCACCGCGCUCCACCGGCUGAGGGGAGGCUUGGUCGCGCCGCCACCAGCCCCCACCACGACAUCCCGCCUACCGUCCUAUUGCUCCUUCCCCUACCGGAUCCAGUCCCAUCGUCGUUGUUCCCCUCCGUCGUCGACGGGAUACGGCCUCUGCGUCGACGGGAUGGCCAUCAUCCUCGACGAGAUGCGGCCGUCGUCUCCUUCCUCUGAUGUCGUCCGAGUAUAUUCCCCUUCGUCCUGAUUAAACCCAUUCCCUCCCACUUGCUUGUUUGAUGAUGAUAAAAUAAGACAAAAAUAAGAAGCAACUGAGAAAAGGUUUAGCAUGCACCUGAUUACCAUCGCACAGAUUACACCGGAUUCUUGUUGCUUUUGUUCUUGACGCAUUUCUGAACGCAGGAGGGAAGUUACAAGGGAAGGGAAAGCACUAGCUAGCAGGGACCUACUUCAUGCGUGUUGCAAGACCAGCAUAGGCUGGAGUUCUACCGUUGCUUUGGUCGCGGUGCUAGUGAAUUUUUGUGUUGAUGCAUAUGUUGUUGCUCCUAUGGAGUGUUGCUGAAUUUUCUUUUCCUACUGAAGAUGGUGCUAUGUAUGUGCUUUGGGCUGUUGAAUAUGCUACUGAAUUUUAGCAAAAGAAGAAGCGAAGGUAUUGUGUUUGGGCAGCUAUAAUAUGCUACUAAUUUUUUGUUGGCGUUAACAAUAAUUAUAGUUGCACACAUAAUAGUUCUGAGUUGGAUAUGAUCAUUUCAGAUCUGUAGUCGAUUUGGCGCGUAUCGCUCUGCAGCCGAUUUUUGAUGCUCUACAGGUACUAGUGGAUUCAGCUGAUUUGAGCUCUGUAGUUUAUCUAAGUACUGAACAUGCUGGCCCAUCUGUUGGAAUACAUCAAGUUUUCAAAAAAUUCAGACUUUUAUUGUUCUAUUUUCUGAAGAAACUACAUUGCUGCACAUGCGCGCCGUGGAGUUGCACAUUUUUGUUGGCAUCUAUAGUAAUUUUAAUUACGCACAUAUUUGUUCUCAGUUGGAUACGAUCAUUGGAAAGUUGCACACACAGCGAUCAUUUUUUAUUGGCAUCUAUAUUACUUCUAGAUAUUACGCACAUAAUUGUUCUCAGUUAGAUUCGGUCAUUCGGAAGUUACACACAUGGUGAUCAUUUUUUAUUGGCAUCUAUAGUAUUUCUAGUCGCACACAUAGUUGUUUUCAGUUGGACACGGUCAUUGAAAAGUUGCACACACGGGGUUCAUUUUUGAUUGGCAUCUAUAGUAGUUCUAGUUGCACAAAUAGUUGUUUUCAGUUGGACACGGUCAUUGGAAAGUUGCACACACGGGAUUCAUUUUUGGUUGGCAUCUAUAGUAGUUCUAGUCGCACACAUAGUUGUUUUCAGUUGGACACGAUCAUUGAAAAGUUGCACACACGGGGUUCAUUUUUGAUUGGCAUCUAUAGUAGUUCUAGUUGCACAAAUAGUUGUUUUCAGUUGGACACGGUCAUUGGAAAGUUGCACACACGGGAUUCAUUUUUGGUUGGCAUCUAUAAUAGUUCUAGUUGCACACAUAGUUUUUUUCAGUUGGACAUGGUCAUUGGAAAGUUGCACACACGGCGNNNNNNNNNNGGCAUCUAUAGUAGUUCUAGUCGCACACAUAGUUGUUUUCAGUUGGACACGAUCAUUGAAAAGUUGCACACACGGGGUUCAUUUUUGAUUGGCAUCUAUAGUAGUUCUAGUUGCACAAAUAGUUGUUUUCAGUUGGACACGGUCAUUGGAAAGUUGCACACACGGGAUUCAUUUUUGGUUGGCAUCUAUAGUAGUUCUAGUUGCACACAUAGUUUUUUUCAGUUGGACAUGGUCAUUGGAAAGUUGCACACACGGCGAUCAUUUUUUGUUGGCAUCUAUAGUAGUUCUAGUUGCACACAUAGUUGUUUUCAGUUGGACACGGUCAUUGGAAAUAGUUGGCAGGGGAAAUAGAAGUAGUUGCACAAAAUCUGCUAGGCAGUUGGCCAGGGCAACAGAUAAAGUUGCACAUCUCACUGACAUGGUUUUGUUGAAUGGUGAAAAAAUGCACAUCCGUAGACCAUGAGGGUGCAGAAAAGUUGUCUACAUGGAGUUGCACACUCUCGUCGGUAUAGUCACACAUGCAUGGCCACAGAGUUGCACAAUCUUAUCGGCAUAGUCGCACAUGCAUGACCAUAGAGUUGCACAAUAUCGUCCGGAUAGUCGCACAUGAAUUGCCGGGGGAGGUGCUCACGCCCGGCCGCGGAGUUGCGCACUCUCGUCGAUAUAGUCACACAUGCAUGGCCACAGAGUUGCACAAUCUCGUUCGCAUAGUCACACAUAAAUUGUCAUGAGAGGUGCUCACGCAUGGCUGCGGAGUUGCACACUCUCGUCGGCACAGUCGCACAUACAUGGCCAUGGAGUUGCACAACCUCGUCCACAUAGUCACACAUGAGUUUUUAUGGGAGGUGCUCAUGCCCGGCCACGGAGUUGCACACUCUCGUCGGCAUAGUCACAUAUGCAUGGCCACAGUUGCACAAUAUCGUCUGCAUAGUCGCACAUGAAUUGCUAUGGGAGGUGCCCACGUCCGACCACGGAGUUGCACACUCUUGUGUUCAUAGUCGCACAUGCGUGGCCGUGGAGUUGGGACAUUCUUACAGGAUAGUCCCUCAAACGCGGUUGUAGAGACUCACACGCGCGAUGACUACCAGGCAGUUGCCCAGGGCACCGGGGCAGCAGAUGAAAUUGCACAUUUUCAAUUUUUAGAGAGUAGUAUGGGGUGUUGUCACUAGUGAAAAUUGCAUGGCCUGAGCAACAAACGAAGUUGCACAUCUCACUGGAAGGAGGCAAUUUGGGGAUGGAGGUACCAUAGAGAAAAACUGCAUGUCUACGGUGUACAAGAAAAGUUGCACAUCCCUGUCAGGUAGUUGCACAUCGACGGCUAGUCAGUUACACAAAACAGGGACAAAAUUGCACAAAAAAAAAGUUUGUCAAAACAUAUCCAUGCGGGAUCUAGUUUCGAAGAGCACAUCGCGAGGAUUUCAGUGGUGAAAGCGGAUCUUAAUUUCGAUAUUUGGUUCAAAAGUUAUGGCUUCUUUAAGAAACAACAAUUAAAAAGCAAACUAGAUGGUCAACUCCCUUUAGUGUACAACGGACCACGUACUUACCUUUUCCACCGGCCGCUCCCAAACUCUACCUGGCAUUUUUAAUAUGCGGCAGUGACUAGACGUCUCGGACAGGGCCGGCCGCUCGCGAGCGGUACCUAGCGCCCGGCCGCCAGCUAGAUUGGUCCAAAAUAAUAAUCUAGCGUCCGCACAAGCGGCAGAGCAUUGGAGAUGGCCUCAUCAGCAACCUGCUACCACCGCACCGCCACCGGUCCCACCAGGCUACCAAUCCGCACAUCAAUCGCCAGAUAACACCCACAAAAAGAGUGAGUUGGUCCUCCCUCUCAUUACUGGGUUCAUGUCGCUAACUUCAGACUAUGUGAAGAAGAAAGCAUCUAACCACUAACCACUGCAGCAGUUUGUUAGCGUGGUUUUCCUUUGUGUUUCUUCCCCUGCUCUUGUUGUUUCUGUUUUUUCUCUUCUGCUUGCUUCAUCUCGUAGAAACACUCCAUGUAAUUGUUUUGAUCUGCAUGAAUAUGCACCCCCAAAAUGAAAAACAAAAGUUAAGAAUAUGCACCCUCAAAAUGAAAAGCAACAAGUUAAGAAUAUGCGGUGUAAAGUCUUUGCGUACAGCCUGCACUCUUUUGCUCAGAUUUCAAAGUUUCGUACCUCUCAACACCGGAGACUCGGUUAUCCACUUCAAUGGCCUGAUUUCUCUAACAAGCUUUAUCAUAUAGUCACCUUUUGCCUUCUGGAUCAGUCUUUCAAGGUUCACUUUGUCACGCACAUCCUCCUACCCACAGAAAAGGCAAACAUAUUAUCAACCAAAGCAAUAUUGGUAUUAAAUGACACACACAAGAGAUCUGAGGAGACGUUUACCUUUGCUCCCUGGUAGGCAUUGAUGCUACCACCAUGGUGUGCAACAACACUGUCCCUCAAAUGUCGAACUGAGUCUAGCAGUGUGGCCUCGACAAUCCGAGCCGCUUUCUCUGGCUCUGCAAGCUUCCUAAUGCAUUCAAUGAUCCCGAGGGGACGUCGUAUGCUGUUCAACACCUUGCCCUUCUCUGUUUCCCUCAAUUCUAUCAGUUUCACUGAACCCCGCUGUUGUUCGACAUGCCACCAGAUUUCUCUGAUGAACUGCAUCUUGAUAUCUGCCUCCCAUAGCCCUGGCUCCCAAUGCAAGUCAUCAUAACUGCAUAAUACAUUGACAGCAGAGUUGGACAUUUUCAGUUCUAAUAACAUCAAUGCAUUUCCCAGCAAAAGAAAUGCAUUUAAAAUUUUCACUUGGUUAAUAUGACUGACUUACUUUGCAGAUGCGCCUUUCAGAAACUCAACCAAAUGCUUUAUUUCAUCAUUGGCAACACAUCCUUUGAAAUACCCUUUGAUAUAAUCUCCUGUCGAUGUCCAGUUAUACCGCUCGAGUUCUUCAACUGUAGGACCUAUUUACAAUAAUGUGUAAGAUUAGAAUACCUAAACACCAGAUGUUGCGAAUAUAAACUAUCAAGUUGUGUUUAAAUUAUACUGACAGGAAACAACUACUAUAAUUGUGUGUUGCGCUCCUCCGUGCCCACCAACCAUCCCCUGGUCAUCCCUAACCUCAGUACGCGUUGCACCAAAUCUAAUACUACCAUUUCUUCUUUUUUCUAAUACAAAUGAACUUCCAUGUCAGGAUAAGUAUCCUAACAAUUUCCCACCCUUCUCCAGUAGGAAAGAUACCAUUUGCUCACAGGUGCAGAUAAGCCUUCGUGUCAAGGAGAAUAGACAAAUCCACAAUGGUUUUGUCACCUCGCUUAAAGAUCAUGGGGUCAUGCGGCUUGUUCUGUACCCGAUAAGUUAGCACUGCUCCAGUACUCAUCAACUACGUUUAAAAACAACACAAUCUUCUUGAUUGCGCUACACAACGAAUUCUACUGGUGAAACACUCUCAAAAGCCUCAACCAGGUCCAAUUAGCCAAGAAUAACACUGGUAAAACCAGAAACAGAAACAGACUGGUGAUUACUGAGCGGAAGCAACAUCGACUAAUUUAAGCCCACUGUACUAUUCUUUUCUAAUGACACGGUAAAGAGAAGUUCUUAUCAGCGUUUGUAGUUGCAUUCUAGUUCACUAAGAGCACAAUGUAUAUGAUGCUGCUAUUGCUAAAAAUGUCUUCCACCUGCCCAUUCUUAUUACCUUAGGUAUUAUUCACCAAAAUGUGAACAAUGACCAUUAUCCAGUUGUUGAGUUUAUAGAGAGAAAUUUUGUUGGUGGUCCCCUUUUUUGUACUUCCUCCGUUCCUAAAUAUAAGUCUUUGGAGAGAUUCCACUAUGGACCACAUACGGAGCAAAAUGAGUGAAUUUAUACUCUAAAAUGCAUCUAGAUACAUCCGUAUAUGGUCCAUAGUGAAAUCUCUACAAAGACUUAUAUUUAGGAACGGAGGGAGUACUUCACUAACUUCAAUGCUACCUAUCCACCAAUGCAACUGCUUCAAGUUAAAAGUGAACAGCAGAAAAAAUAUUUUUGGAAAAGAAUGCUUCAGCAUUUUGUGGAAUUCAGUUUGUGAGUGGAAGUCACAUCUAGACCUGAGAAACAAGUGCAUCGACUAGAGAACCCAAUCUACAACCAAGAUGAUAUUACGAUGAACAGAAAAUGAACGAAGCAACUCAGACAGUAAUGGUGCUCAAUUCAUACUUGAGGACGGAUAAAUUAUAUGCAGGGCAUCAAUCAACAGUUGCUGAUGUUCAUGAAGGCACUGUUUCAGAUAAUGGAGACGACUCCAACCAUUUCUACAAUAAUAACAUAUCAAAUUUGCAAGAUGUUGUAUCUGCAUUCAAUUCAACCAGUGCUGGUUUUCAAUUUUGCAAGUCUGCAGGCCUUGCCAAUGAAGUAAGGCGUGCUAUCUCUCAUGGAAACUAUCGUCAGUGCAGGUUCCAACAGCUGGGGAAUGGCCAAUGGAGGUUACUAGAAUGCUAGCUGAGUUUGGACUCAAUCGUGUCCCUAGGGAAGCAGCAGAGAUCGGCCGGAGCAGCCUCCUGCGAGUACGAAUUUAGGAGCGGCUGCAUCAGAUGAGGGAGGGACAAGUACCUGCUUCCAGUAACCAGUUCUCACGGGAAGGAUGGAUGAUCCUUUGGUGGGCGCAAAUGGGUUGACACCUCACCAUACGUGAGUGGGAGGAG